AAGGACCCCAGGACUGGAGCCUCCCUCAGCCUGGCUCUCCGCCGGGCUGCCGCGGGAAUUUAGAUUCGAAAAGAGCUUCCAGAGG
ensembl:misc_RNA